rnacentral:rRNA from 1 species
GAUGAACGCUGGCCGUUUGCCUAAUACAUGCAAGUCGAGCGAACGGACGAGAAGCUUGCUUCUCUGAUGUUAGCGGCGGACGGGUGAGUAACACGUGGAUAACCUACCUAUAAGACUGGGAUAACUUCGGGAAACCGGAGCUAAUACCGGAUAAUAUUUUGAACCGCAUGGUUCAAAAGUGAAAGACGGUCUUGCUGUCACUUAUAGAUGGAUCCGCGCUGCAUUAGCUAGUUGGUAAGGUAACGGCUUACCAAGGCAACGAUGCAUAGCCGACCUGAGAGGGUGAUCGGCCACACUGGAACUGAGACACGGUCCAGACUCCUACGGGAGGCAGCAGUAGGGAAUCUUCCGCAAUGGGCGAAAGCCUGACGGAGCAACGCCGCGUGAGUGAUGAAGGUCUUCGGAUCGUAAAACUCUGUUAUUAGGGAAGAACAUAUGUGUAAGUAACUGUGCACAUCUUGACGGUACCUAAUCAGAAAGCCACGGCUAACUACGUGCCAGCAGCCGCGGUAAUACGUAGGUGGCAAGCGUUAUCCGGAAUUAUUGGGCGUAAAGCGCGCGUAGGCGGUUUUUUAAGUCUGAUGUGAAAGCCCACGGCUCAACCGUGGAGGGUCAUUGGAAACUGGAAAACUUGAGUGCAGAAGAGGAAAGUGGAAUUCCAUGUGUAGCGGUGAAAUGCGCAGAGAUAUGGAGGAACACCAGUGGCGAAGGCGACUUUCUGGUCUGUAACUGACGCUGAUGUGCGAAAGCGUGGGGAUCAAACAGGAUUAGAUACCCUGGUAGUCCACGCCGUAAACGAUGAGUGCUAAGUGUUAGGGGGUUUCCGCCCCUUAGUGCUGCAGCUAACGCAUUAAGCACUCCGCCUGGGGAGUACGACCGCAAGGUUGAAACUCAAAGGAAUUGACGGGGACCCGCACAAGCGGUGGAGCAUGUGGUUUAAUUCGAAGCAACGCGAAGAACCUUACCAAAUCUUGACAUCCUUUGACAACUCUAGAGAUAGAGCCUUCCCCUUCGGGGGACAAAGUGACAGGUGGUGCAUGGUUGUCGUCAGCUCGUGUCGUGAGAUGUUGGGUUAAGUCCCGCAACGAGCGCAACCCUUAAGCUUAGUUGCCAUCAUUAAGUUGGGCACUCUAAGUUGACUGCCGGUGACAAACCGGAGGAAGGUGGGGAUGACGUCAAAUCAUCAUGCCCCUUAUGAUUUGGGCUACACACGUGCUACAAUGGACAAUACAGAGGGCAGCGAAACCGCGAGGUCAAGCAAAUCCCAUAAAGUUGUUCUCAGUUCGGAUUGUAGUCUGCAACUCGACUACAUGAAGCUGGAAUCGCUAGUAAUCGUAGAUCAGCAUGCUACGGUGAAUACGUUCCCGGGUCU